UAGGGAAUCUUCCACAAUGGACGCAAGUCUGAUGGAGCAACGCCGCGUGAGUGAAGAAGGUUUUCGGAUCGUAAAGCUCUGUUGUUGGUGAAGAAGGAUAGAGGCAGUAACUGUUCUUUAUUUGACGGUAAUCAACCAGAAAGUCACGGCUAACUACGUGCCAGCAGCCGCGGUAAUACGUAGGUGGCAAGCGUUGUCCGGAUUUAUUGGGCGUAAAGCGAGCGCAGGCGGAAUGAUAAGUCUGAUGUGAAAGCCCACGGCUCAACCGUGGAACUGCAUCGGAAACUGUCAUUCUUGAGUGCAGAAGAGGAGAGUGGAAUUCCAUGUGUAGCGGUGGAAUGCGUAGAUAUAUGGAAGAACACCAGUGGCGAAGGCGGCUCUCUGGUCUGCAACUGACGCUGAGGCUCGAAAGCAUGGGUAGCGAACAGG
rnacentral:rRNA from 1 species